rnacentral:rRNA from 1 species
ACGGGGUGCAGCAGGCGCGAAAACUUUGCAAUGUGCGAAAGCACGACAAGGUUAAUCCCGAGUGGUUUCUGCUAAAGGAACCUUUUGACAGUCCUAGAAACACUGUUGAAUAAGGGGUGGGCAAGUUCUGGUGUCAGCCGCCGCGGUAAAACCAGCACCUCAAGUGGUCAGGAUGAUUAUUGGGCCUAAAGCAUCCGUAGCCGGCUCAGUAAGUUUUCGGUUAAAUCUGUACGCUCAACGUACAGGCUGCCGGGAAUACUGCAGAGCUAGGGAGUGGGAGAGGUAGACGGUACUCGGGAGGAAGUGGUAAAAUGCUUUGAUCUUUCGAUGACCACCUGUGGCGAAGGCGGUCUACCAGAACACGUCCGACGGUGAGGGAUGAAAGCUGGGGGAGCAAACCGGAUUAGAUACCCGGGUAGUCCCAGCUGUAAACUAUGCAAACUCAGUGAUGCAUUGGCUUGUGGCCAAUGCAGUGUUGCAGGGAAGCCGUUAAGUUUGCCGCCUGGAAGUACGUACGCAA